UUUAUUGUUCAUGUGUACAAUUGGAAAAAAUAUUCUUCAAUCCAAUCAUGAUCAGCACCAAGCUAUGAUUGCUAUGGAGUUUCAUUUAAAUCAGAGAAAAGGGGGAGAUGUAGAGAGACCCCCUGAAACUAUUGCUAUGGAAUGAAAGAUGAAAUGCUCCUGAUUAUUAUAAAUACAAAAUUGCAUGCAGGAUGGUGUAAAGACAACGCCAGGUUGGGCUGCCAGAAUGAGCCGACAGCACAUGAUGUGCUUCCCCCUGCAGAGAGUCUAAGAAUGGACGUGCAGUCAGGGAGGUUUCACAUCACCAAGAUUCCUAUCCCAGAAAAGCAGAUGUUCAUAGCACUGGCAACCCUUGUGGAGAGCCUAUAAAUGGAUGCAUGAGGGGUGCCUGUUUAUAUGCCCUUAUCUUGCCAUGGCUCUUUUAAGCCUCUUUAGGGUUAAGGCAUACUCCCUUCUGAGAAUUUCUGGUCUAACUGGUUGUCUAGCUUCAUGUCCUGUUUCUUUGAUUGCUUGUAACCAGAUUUUGCUGCCACUGUUACUGCUGAUUAGUAUCUUGCUAAUCAUAGGUUAUGGAAAGACUGUAUUUCUGUUUUAAGGCUCUGUUAGAAAUUACUGAUGCACACACUAUAUUGUAAAUUCUUAUCUCUGUAUACUGUACUUCUGCAUACAGAUAUUAUGUUUAAGAAUUACUCUAUCCCCAUGUGACCAUUUCACCUCAUAAUCAAAUGACCCUAAAUCCCUCACUAACCUACCCCCGCCCUCACUAAACUUAAUAAUAAAUGCUGGCAUAUCCAGUGCAUUGGUGGCAUCGCAGGACCAGAAGGCGGUGACCCCCCUGGACCCAGCUUUCACUAUCUUGUAUGUGUCUAUUAUUUCUAGACCUGCUGAUCUGCCUGGGAACAAAGAAAGAGUCCCAUUGCAUUGCGGGUUGCUGGCCAGAUCCCGCAAUACAGUACUGCUUUAGAAACAAAGUAACAGAACAAAAAUAAAAGGGAAUAGAGUUCUCCACUUCUGUAUAGUGGGUGGUGGGCAGGGGAACACUGAGAUCUGUAGAGAAGAGAGGCUCCUUCAUUGCAUGUAUAGCGGGGUGUCAGUGCCCCAGAGAAAGCAAUGGUUUCCAGAUGGAAGCUGAUGGACAGAUGCUGGAAGCAUUGGCAGAGCAUCUUCAUGGAGGAAGCAAAGAACUUUUGUGGACACAAAAAAGAAGGUCAUGGGAAGAUAUGCAAGGAAGAAGUCCAUGUGAAGACGGAGGCAGAGAUGAGAGUGAUUUACAAGUAUCUACAAGCCCAGGAACACCAAGGAUUGCCAGCAACCACCAGCAGCUAGGAGAGAAUGCAUGUGAGUUACUCCCUCAGAGGCUCCAGAAGGAACAAAUCUACUGACGCUUGGAUUUCAGACUUCUAGCCUCUAUAACUGUGACAAAUAAAUUUCUGUUGUUAUUAUCUGCCCAGUUUGUGGUACUUUGUUAUGGCAGUCCUAGGAAACUAAUACAUCCCGUUAAAGAAAAUAUGCAAUAUAAGGACAUUUUAUAUUCAGUUUAACUGUACUGUAACACCAACAUUUUUGCCUUUGCUGACUAACAUUACUGAAAGCAACUAACACUUGUUGAACAUUUACAAAUUUCUAAGCAAUAUACAUUAAUAAUCCUUACAAUUACUGAAGAAUUGGCGUUAUUAUUUCUAGCUUGCAGAUUAAGAUAUUUUUGUGAAAAAGGGGCAGGAGUCUGACGGUACUAAGUAGGAGAGCCAGUAUGUUAAUUAAUUUCUAUUUAAUUCCAGUGUUCAUCAUCUAUCUAUUAAUUUACAGUGAGAGUAAAAUGAAUUAUUCUAACAUAUAACAAAAUUUUAAAUCACACUGAACAAUAGAAAGAGCAUUUACCCUUUAUCAGUGUGCAAUCUAUGUGUAUUUAAUUUUCUUCUCCAAGCCUGCUAGGUGUUGCCCAUUGUGUCAUCAAUCAGGAUGAGUUUACAAAUUCAUUUAGAAGUACAGGCACAUUCAAGUGUGCCAUAUAGUCAAUUUCUUUUUCAAUGAACGUUCUCUUUGACACCUCAAAGCUUUUAUGUUUAAGCAAGCCUAAUGACAACACCAUUACUUCAGGUAUUGACCAAAACUUGUACACGGAAGAGCAAUAGAGAGGUUCUCCUAAACAUGCCAUUACAAAGUGGAAGCAGCUGAACAAAUUCAUCACUCUUUCAAGUAGAGUUUUCCCUUUACCUGUGAACCUUAAUUAUAGACUGACUUACAGCAAAGUAAUACUUACUUUUUUAAUAGGAACAUCUGUUAUAAUAAUGGGGCCAGCAAUAGUGGCAUGACAGUUCAUUAAAUGUAUAAAAGAGUGUUUGGUUUGAGAAUAGAGAGUGUGUGGCUCAUCUGAAACUUAAGCGGCAUCCAACACUGGGAUUUAGACCUACUGGAUAUUUCAGGGGGAUUUGUGUAUCAGAAGACUUGAUAUGACUUUUGAGUGAGAAUUUAUUUUAAGGAAUGAGAAGGACAUAGGAACAGGCCUCCUUUAUUAACAAUACUUUAGUUUUAAGAGGAGAGGUGUGUUAGUCUGCUAGGGUCAUCAUGAUAAAGUACCAAAAACCGGGUGGUUAACACAACAGAAAUGUAUUUUCUCACAAUUCUGAAGGCUGGAAAUCUGGGAUGAGUAUUUUCAUAGGCUCUUCCUUCUUUAUAUGACUAUGACAAAAUUUCCUCUUCUGAUGAGGACACAAAUCGUAUGGCAUUAGAGCCCACCUUAGUGACCUUAUUUUAACUUAAUCAUCUCUUUAAAUACCCUAUCUCCAAAUAUAGUCACAUCUGAGGUAACCAGGGGCUAGAACAUAAAUAUAAGAAUUUUGGGGGAACACAAUUCAGCCCAUAGCAGAAAGGAUGAGUCUAAAUGCAAUAUUGUAUGUACAGAAACAUUAGUCACUAUCCCAAAUGCCCAUACAUUUAUGUCUAUUUCCUCUGGAGGGGUUGAGGGAGGUAGACUAUGAAGUAUCAUAAUAACUGUCUGAUAAAUCCUAAUAGCAAAAGUGGGAGUCAUUCUUCACAUCUGCAUUGAGCAAAGUGCCCAUGAAGAAUCUACUAGGUUGAGUGCUAAAAAUACUGAAGGAGUAAAAAAAUUUCUGUUGACACCAGCAAGAACUUGUUCCCAAAUGUUUCUUCCUGUACAUAUUCCUAAAUUCGAUUGAUAAAAAACUGCUAACCAUAAACUCAGUCCUGCUGUUCUCGCAUCUUCUCCCAUGAUUAACACAUUCUCAAUAUCCUCACACCUUUUAGGACUUUGAAUAGUUAAAACUCACUGAAAAAACUGUACUUUUCCUGACCAUCCUCAAUUUUUCUUAUAAAGCCUUUAAACUUCUUGCUCUCCAUAAAACAGUCAUGACCCAUUCCCAUGUUUCCAUGUUAUAAAAAAGUUUCGAGCUAAUGACUUUUUUUUUUUUUUCUACAAAACCACAUUGGCUCUCUGAGAUAUCCUUUGGAUCAGAGAUAGAAGUUCCUGGCAGAGGAGGACACAGUGAAAAACCCACAGAAGAUGUGACAGUGCCAGUGUCAGCGGUAGAAAUUGGGAAAGAUAAUGGUGAAUGUAACUUCUGAAGGCCUUCCUUACUGAAGAUAAGAAAAUCUGGACCAAAAAAAUCAAACAAAUAAAGAUCUACUUGAAGAUAUUGAAGAAUUGACACUAAAGUAAAUAACUACUGGGCCAUUCUUCUAAGGAGGGUGAGUUUCCAGGGAUGUGUACCCUUAUAUUGGGGGCACCUUUUCUCCAAAAAACAAUUGUGAAUUGUAGAGGUGUUUAAGGGCACAUUUGAUCACGCUUGUGCCUAUAAGGGCAAGGAGUCCAGAAGCUGACAAGUGGGAUCCUUACUUGUCUAAUUCUUACUCUUACUUUCUGCAUAAGCCUCCAAAGACACCCACUAAAGAUUAUAGGAAUAACUUGAAGAUAUUACAGUUUUUAUUCCAGACCACCACAAUAAAGUGAAUAUUGCAACAAGGCAAUUUACAUGAUAUUUUUGUUUACCAGGACACAUAAAAAUUAUGUUUACACUGACUGCAGUUUAUUAAGUGUGCAAUAGUAUUAUGUAUAAAAACAAUGUAAAUAUUUUAAUUAAAAAUACUUCAUUGCUAAAAAUGCAAGUGAUCCUCUGAGCCUUUAGUAAGUUGUAAUUUAUUGGCAGUGGAAAGUUUUGUCUUGAUGUUGAUGGCUGCUGACUGAU
rnacentral:lncRNA from 1 species